rnacentral:tRNA from 1 species
GGCAUGUGGCCUGCGGCAGCAGGUCAGGCGCGCCGCCGCCGCGCUUGGGGUGGAUCCGGCCACCACCUGCCUC